rnacentral:lncRNA from 1 species
CUUCUUAUUGGGUUUAGAUUUUCUGAAGCAAACUGAGUAAGAUUUAUCUUUUCUGAGUCUAGUGGUUUUAAGUUUUUGAAACCAAAGCUUCAAAGACAGAAGAACAGGAUCGUCAAGCAGUUGGGGCCACCCAAGCAAAGGCCUGAAGCUUCUAGCCAGGCCAUUUGUUCUGGUCAUGUUUUGGGGCCUAAGACAAUUGUUUGGGAAGAAAACUUGGGAUUCCACAGCAAGCGUAAUACAAUAUAGAUAUUAUUGUUAAGGAGAGUUUAUUUUUAUAGUGAUGAAGUUUUCCAAUAAUUAAAAGGGUGAUCAAGUGGUAUUAUGGGAGAUUAUUUCUCAGUGGACUAUGUAGAUGAGCAAUCCUUCUCUUCAUAGGAUAUUUUAGAAUUUAGUUUACUCUAAAAUAUGAACCCUUAAGUUAAUAAACAGGGUGGCAUUUGGUGCCAAGGAUUAAAUAUUUACUGGUAAAAUAUACAGUGAUGAAAAGGAUUUUCCAACAGGCGAUAAAUCAAAUAGUCUGAGCUCUGUAUUAAAUAUUAUUUUUAUCAGGGAAAAAAUAAAACUUGGCCCAUGGAACAAAGUUAACCCAUUGUUGUGGAUUCCUGGAGCCUAACUUGUGAGGAUCAGCAGACAUUCCUUUUAAAAACCAGGAAGUCCAGUGGACUUGCCAAAGUGCACACACUUAGUGAGGAGCAGAACAGCUGUAAAUACUUAUAUAUGCACCGGUUGUUGGAACCCAGGCUGUGUCUCAAUGAAGAUAAUGAAUCAAUUAUUGAAAGUAAACCAGCAAAUGGGAUUUUACACAGAUCAAGACCAAAGGAAACCUCGUGCCUGUUUGUCUAGAUUAGGGGAAGGUAAUUGCUGCAACCCACAGUGACUAAGGAAUUUGGUUUUACCCUUAGAAGUAGCGUUUAUCACAAGCUGAAUAACUUGAGUUCAAUCUACUGUCAGAGUCCACCAAUUGCCAGGGUUGGGUGCUGAGAACCAGACAAGGCAGGAGAAAGAGGAAAGGCCUCUCUGGAAUGCUCAGUUAUUGCAAUAAAGACUCUUCUAAGAAACA